UGUUUGCGGCAAACAUGCCGAAGAUCUGAACUCGGGGCCCUUGAGCAAGCUGAGUGUGCUGAUCCGGGAGCGGCAGCACCUGAGAAAAACCUACAACGAGCAGUGGCAGCAGCUGCAGCAGGAGCUCACCAAGACCCACAGCCAGGACAUUGAAAAGCUAAAGAGCCAGUACCGGACCCUGGUUCGCGAUAGUGCCCAGGCCAGGCGCAAGUACCAGGAAGCCAGCAAAGACAAGGAUCGAGACAAGGCCAAAGACAAGUAUGUGCGCAGCCUGUGGAAGCUCUUUGCCCACCACAACCGCUACGUCCUGGGUGUGAGGGCC